UGCGGAAAAGUGUAUUGGUUGCACACUGGGCUCAUAACCCAGAGGUAGUCUCAAACGGUUCGAUUCCUACUUCCGCCA
rnacentral:tRNA from 2 species